CUUUUUCAUUGAUUUUUAGCUUUUUCUUUAGUUUAUUUACUACUCUUGCUGUCCCCCAUCUCCCUCUUCCUUUCUCUAAACUUUUCUUCUUUAUUAAUUGGUUUUACCGUAGUUGUGCCGCCCCCUUUGCUUAAGUUUUUCCAAUUAUUUCUCUAGCCACCUUGCUAUUUGUUUAACCUCCUAAACCGAUAAGUUAUCUUUUUCCUUCUCUUUUGCUCUCCCUUGUGUGCCCAUUUUUGGCUUCUGUUUUUACAGCCAAUAAGCCAUCAUUCUAGCACACAAAAAUCAUUCUUUUUUCUGUCCAAAGAUCCCUCCUUGUGCCGCCCAAGUCAGCCCCUUUUUACCACUGCUUCUGGUGUUGCCACCCCUUGCAACAAAAUUAUUUUUGGCUGUCAUUUUUUUUCAAUUGUUGCCCCUUAAAGAAAUAAGUUUCCCAAUUUCUCCUCUUUAGAUCUGAUCUAAACGUUCUUAAUUGAUGGGGUAUCCAAGUUCAUUUAUCUGACAACUCAGAUCUAGUUAUCGAGCAGUGUUAAGUGCAGAUCUAUGUGAGAUCUUACAUUGUUUCGCUUUUGUUAGAGGUUUUGAUUUUCACAUCCUAGAUCAACAGCGAAGUUGGAAUUGGUUUGCGCCCUCAUUUCGCAUCAAAUCUGUGUAAGUUACUUAACCGAUGUGGAUCUGAAAAUUAAUUGGUGUAACACUGAUUUGGCCAAACCCUUAGGGGGUGUUUUAAGGCUGGUUUUAACAUUAUUUUAACAUGUUAGAUGUUUUAAUUUGUUUAAGGCAUUAGUGCGGAAAUGCAAAUUCUUACGGCUUAGCGUUGUGAAGUGCAUAACAAGGUGUGGGUCCUAACCUUGUUUAAUCGUUUGUUAAAUUCUUAUUAUAAAUUGAAAAUUGUUAUAAAAUGCUUGUUGGUUAGGCAUGGUUGAAUGGCCUAUUAAGUUUAAUAAAAUUUUUCGAACAA